rnacentral:lncRNA from 1 species
UUCAGAUAAUCAGGACGGCGACUAGCGGCGGGAUGGCUUGAGCUGAGCUAAAUUCAGAAGCGUGCCCAUCCAUGUGUUCGGGAGCUGGGAGGCAGUACCUGUAUUCUGUAGCAAACUUGUUCCUGGAUGAUGUCAUGUAGUGUGCGAAUCUCUGCGUUUCUUUUCUUUUGUUUGGGGUAUCAAAGAGUUUAAACUUGAACUGAUGUAAGUUUAAAGAUAUGAGAAAACUUUAAAUAUGUAGAAGAGUAGCUAUAAUUCCUCCGUCGGAUGAUUUCUCUAUCUGCAUGGAUAUGGCUUUGGUGCCUGUUUGAAUCGGUCCUUGCCCAAUGCGUCUGCAUGGCCAUGUGCCUGGAUGACGGUUUCCAUGGAUCUCAAGCCCAUCACGAGCUGGUGAUUCAAUCUGCAGUUGGUCGCAUUGUGCUGAGAGCCUGAGACCGGAAAUUAUCAAUUUCUCACAGAGCAACCGUUGACAUUGACCAUCAUGUUUAAGAAUGUUAACACUAGUCAGGCAUAUUCCCAUUAGCCGAAAGAACCUAAUCACUUCAAUUCGCAUUUUGAUGCGCACUAAGAAAUUUUAGUAUCUACAGCAAAAGAUCUUCAUGGCCAAAAUAAAAAUAAAAAUGAAAAUGUCAUAAAGCAGUGGUCGGUUAGUGAGGAUUCAAACCAUAUCGUCAUUAAGGUGGGAUAUGGUUGCUUGGCCAACCACCUUGACGAAAGACUUUUCACCACAAAAGUUAGUACAAUCAAUGACGAUACUGGAACAAAUAUCAAUUCAUUUGUUUUUGGUAUCACCUUAAUCAUUUUUUUUACAGUAACCCUUGCUACCACUCUAUGACACGUCAUUUUCUCACAAUAUGAUUCCGCCUGCUGUUGAAGUUGCAUUAAUUGAUUAUAUUAUAAAUAUCAGUGAUGAUUCUUCUCCUGAUAGUGACAACAAAGAUGACCAUGACACUCUACAACACUACUGCAAUAAUUAUGAAAGAUCCGCAAAGACAGAUGUGUGAAGCCGAUGACGAACAAUUUCGAAAAGUAUAGAGCUUUUUUUUUUAGAGUGAGUAGUAUUGCAUUGCAUGGGAAGAGAUAAAACAAAAGGACAAAAGUGUGUUCAUGGUCAUCGAAGUUGCUUGAAAGGAUUAUGUGUUGCUGCACAUAUAUUGUUUGGUGAGAAGUGUAUCCCAACAGGCUCGGUGAUCGCUGGGUUGCCGCCGAACCCCUUGCUCAGCUCGCUGCUCCUGUUUGGUGAGAGAAGAUCGCCGUGUCCUGUCUCCUGGUCCUAGAGAAGGCGUUGUUGCUCUGCUUGCCGAAUUCCAUCCCCGAGACCCUGACCUGCAGAGGCACAAAGAACAGGACAGUUCUGCUCUUCAUUAGUGGCUAGUUCACUUUACUAUUUUCAAGACUGCGAUAUUAUCCAAAGUGGAAUACAACUGUAAUAUCACUCAAAAUUGAGUGGUAUUAAUUAUGACCAUUUUUGCAAAAAAUUUAAAACUUUUUGUUUGAAUGCGUGCAUCAUCUAAAUACAUGGUUAAACUUAAUGUCAACCCUCAUUUCUUUCCCCUAAAUUCAAAAGCUAGUAAUUAAAAUUGUGCAUUCAAAUUUAAAACAUACUUGCACGAGUCAUUUGGAUUUUAUUUGGUUUAAUUUGGAUUUCAAAGGUGAGUUUGUAUUUUUGGAUCUAAUCCAAAAUAUAAACUAAAUCUAGUAUGUAAAUAACAUAAUAAAAAUUUAAUGUGACUAACUCUAACUUUGCACACGAGCUAGCCACAAACCCAACCAGCUCUCUCUUUCUUUUCUUCUUGGACCAGUAGUUAUCCUGGACUGCCAGCUUUGUUAAUCACGUUUAGCAGAAUUUUUUUAUUUUUAUAUAUUUUUUGAUUUUGCAAAAAUAUAUAGUCGAAUAAAAAAUUAGUAUGGGCUUAUACCGCCGGCUGAAACAGCUGUAUGGGCCUUACUGCCGUUUCAACUGGAGGUAGGGGCCUUACCGCCGUAAGGCGAUACCACUCACGAGUCACCCACUGGAUUAACUCCGCGCGGCACCAGAGGCACCCACUGGAUUAACUCCGCGCGGCACCUGAGGAAGCUCCGCCGUUUGAACUGGCGGUAAGGGCCUUACCACCAGUUCAAACGGUGGGGCUCGCCCACUAUAAAAUGCGGCCGCGCCCCUCCCCCUCCCCCCGUACCAGACCUGCGCCAGAGAAAGAAAGAGGAAAGGAAAGAAGGGAAGAAAAAAAAGGAGAGGAGAGGAGGAGGAGGGAAGAAAGGAGGAGGAGGAGGGAAGAAGGGGGGAAGGAAAUUCUUCCGUCGUUCUCAGGUAAAUUUUUUUAAUCUCGUAGUUUAGAUAGUAUAGUGUAGUGACUAGAUCUAGAUUUAGAAAUAUUAGUGGAUCUAAGAUUUAGAAAUAGAUUCAUUAGAUAGUAUAGUGUAGUGACUAGAUCUAGAUUUAGAAAUAUUAGUGGAUCUAAGAUUUAGAAAUAGCUAGUGAAUCUGAGACUUAGAAACAUUUAGCUGAAUUUAGAUAUAGCAAAAUGUAGCUUAGUUAGUACAAUAGAUUUAGCUUAGACAGUAAAAUAGAUUUAGCUUCGGUGGUAUAGUAGAUUUAUCUUAGGUGGUAUAGUAGAUUUAGCUUAGAUCAUAGUAAAUUUAAGAAAUCUUAGUGGAUCUGAGAUUUAGAAAUAUCUAGUGGAUCUGAGAUUUAUUUGUCGUGUAUAUUAGUUCUGAUACAUGCCUAUGAUAAAUUUAGUUAGUAAGCUUGGUUUAGUGUUACAUAGUUGUUUUUUUAUGAAUUGAAGUCGUCAUUAUAGUUAACUGAUAUAUAUUGCUGAGAUUAAUUUGGACUGCCUGUUUCAUGUAUGUUGGCAGGCAUGUCGGAUAGUUUAAAUUUUCAAGUGUUCUACGGGCCGGGGGAGGUUAGAUAUGGUUCAGAAGGGGUAGAUUUGAGUGGAUUUCCCUAUUUCACCAAGUGUGUUCGAAGAGCAAGAGAGAGAACUUGAGGGGGCAUUUGCAGGUGACUUUGUAGGGAUUUUGGUGUUGAUAGAGAUUAAGUGGAUGUGUCUGUGAGGGUUGUAGUCAAAAGACGGCCGGACAUAAAUUUUUGGGAGUUGCUUCCGCUUGAAGGAACUCCAAGCUACCGGGCUUAUAUAAAUGGUUGCACGAGAAAAGAUUUACCAAUCAUAUGGUAUGUUCAACUGUUCAUGAAGGGUGGAUCUAGCAGUCAUAUUGAAGAAGAAGUAGGAGGUGAUGAAGUUGAAGCGGAAGAAGAUGUGCAGAGUACUGAGGGUGGAAACAAAAAACUUGAUUACGAUGAACAAGAAGGGGGAGAUGCAGAGAAUGAUGUUGCAUCCCGCGCACCAAAUGGGGAGGCUGAUGAGGGGGAAGAAAUUCCUAAGUUAGUAGAGCAGCUGGAGAUGGAAGGAGAGGAGGCUAAUGGUGCCGUGGAUGAUGACUGGUCCGAAGAGGAAGAUGCUUAUCCUGUACCGUGAAAUUGGUCAAAUUAUGACCAUUCCGCCCUACAGGUCAAUAUUGGGGAAAAUAUUCCUUGGGAGUACAGGGAGAAUGAGGUAUGCGUGGGAGCUAUGUACCAAAGUGGGGAUGAAGUGAAGGUGGCUAUUAAGAGGUGGUUCACUUUGUCUUUGCAGCGUCAGUUCAGGGUGGAAAAGAAUAGCCCGAAGGUGUAUGAUGUACGCUGUGUGCGAAAUAAUUGCCCAUUCAGGGUGCAUGCAUACAAGGGGAAAUGGAAGGAUUACUGGGAGGUGACUAGAGUGGUUGAGCACGAAUGCUUGCUGGCUGAAUUGGAAGGAACACACCGCAACCUCAUUGUUGAUUUUGUUGCUCAAUACAUGUAUCCUUAGAUAGUGCAGAAUCCUAGCUUCGAGCCCAAGUCCAUUGUUUGUGCCAUAGAGGAGAAGUUCAAGUACAAGAUCAGCUACAACAAAGCUUACCAGGCGAAGCAGAAGGCACUGAAGAUGAAGUGGGGUACGUUCGAAGUAUCUUUGGACAACCUCCCUGUCCUGUUGCACACCAUUUGCCAGAGAAAUCCUGGAAGCUUCUACGACUUGAAAACCUAUCCAUGUGUUCAGUUUCCAGGCAAACAGGUCCUGCAGCGGUCAUUCCUCGUAUUGGGUCCUUGCAUUCAGGCUUUCCGGCUAUGUCGACCAGUCAUUUGCAUUGAUGGCACAUUUCUAACUGGAAGGUACAAAGGAACAAUAUUGACAGCUAUUGGGUUCGAUGGCAACAAUCAGGUGUUGCCGCUUGGGAUCGUAUUUGUGGAGAAGGAGUCUGGAGAUAGCUGGUAUUGGUUCCUCGAGAGGGUGAAGAACAUGAUUGUGAUGGACGUCGAGGGGGUUUGUCUCAUUCAUGAUCAGUACAAAGGCAUUUUGCAAGCAAUCGAAGACCUACAGAAUGGAAGUCAGGAGCGUUUCAGGGCGUCGAUAUGGCCGGACUUGAAGAGUAGGUGGUGCAUGAGGCAUAUGGGUGUGAACUUUCAUAGGCAAUUCAAGAAUAAGACCCUUAUGAAAUUGUUCAAGCGCCUGUGCAGCCAGAAUCAGGAGAAGAAGUUCAACCUGUUGUGGAAGAAACUAUAGCAGAGGCUGCAUCCAAAUCAAAUGUCUUGCAUGGUUUUGCUGCCGGCAUCAACCAACAGCUGAUGAAGAUCAAAGAUGGGAUUGAUUUGUCUUUCACUUGAUUUGCAUGUACAACGGUUUUCCCCAGUACAUGAGGAUGCCGUGCAGGUGCGAGUCGCCGAGGCCGGUGCUGGCGUGGUUGACGGAAUGGAGCAUGGAAAUGAUGGGGCUGAGGGAUUGGACACCCAAUGGUGCGUUCUCAGCUUCCAACUCGGUGAUCUUUGGCUUGAUCUACACCUCCCGGCCGCAUGCUGCACCUGCUCCAAGCAGUAGAGUCCCUAGCCACGCAUCAAGCUAGAAGGUCGAAGGUGCCGCCGCCGUAGCUCACCAUUGCCAACAAACGCACGAGGACAGGGGUAGCUAGAUCUGUUGUUGAUGAACGCAUGGAGCCGAUUCAGUUUUUGUUUAUGCUAACUUUAGUGCGGCUCGAUGAAGGAGGUCAGCUCGAUCUUCUCGCAGAGAACACACCAGCUUGGCUUAGUUUGGCUAACAUAAUGGAUUGUUAUUGGGGACACGCGUUAGCCAUCUAGGCGAUGUCGCACCAGGCGCGUGGUGAGGUACUCUCGCAUGAGUUUUGGGUGAGUGUGAUUUCUUGACGUGUUUUGGUAAGAGCAAGCCGCGGUCGGUAUAGCGACAGUGCCUAACUUGGGGAGAGGUUCUGGACUCUACGUGUUCCCCGUACCUGUGACAGGUACUUUGUUUUAAACUUAGGAGCAGGUGAUGUACUUGUACAUUGCAGGUGCUUCGAUAUGUUCCUUGUGGAGUUGAGUGCUUGCUCUCGGCCUGUAAGGAUCGAGUUAGUUUAUCACCGGUCACAAUAUCUAUAUAUAUACAUACUAUUCGCUCAUGUUAUGAGCGGGGUUCGGUCCGAAACUAGUGGUGGAUAGCACUUAGCCUGUAAGUGAAUUAGCUGAACAGUUAAGGAGUUCGAGGCGAUGAUCGUCUCUGACCAGACUGUACCCCAGUAGGACCAUGGGUAGGUUUCACAUCUUCGAGAUCUACAACUGGCGACGAUGUGCCCUGCAGUUCAAGAUACUUCCAGACUCAAGGAAAUAGGAGAGUGCUAGCCACCUACUAGGGCUUCGGCCAUUAGGUGGGGUUUGGACGGUCGUACACCGUUUAGGAUCCAACCGAGACAACCUCUAUAGAGUUAUAAACUAUAACUAUAGCCGUGUGCACGGUAUUGGAUAGUGCUGUUGACUACUGCUACUUUCAACUAGACUUAUACUAUUCUUCUACCUCCCCCUUUUGAGAUAGGCUGACGUUUGCCGUUGAGAUGUGAGGGAAGGGAGCUCUCACAUUGCCUAGUCCGUUUGGGUGCUGAAUUCUUGGACGAAGGAUUUGGUGGUUUGUGACAACUUACUUGAUAUAAGGUGUUGACCUCGGUGAUGGUAUUGCUUUAAUGCAUCCUUGAUUGCUGCUACUGCUGCUGCAUAAACCUCUACAGCUAUAUAUAGGAUUAUCCAUGCAUAUAGUAUUAUUCCCCUGUUUCCUUGGUUUGAUGCUAUUCGGAGUUGACAUGGCCUACCCGCUUCUCAGGUAGACUUUGGCUUUUCAGGAUCUGAAUCCCACUAUGACUUCGGCGACGGAUUUGAAGAUUAGGGAUGGCCCUUCGCUUAAGUCGCCUAUGGAGUUGGCGUUCACCAUGCUACAUGUUUCCGCUGCGUAGAUAUUUUACCUUGCAUGAUUCAGUCUUGAUGGAUUUGUACCGGCAUGUGCCAAGCUGAUAUACCAGAUAUUUAUGUUAUCAUUAUUAAGUUGCUACUCUAUUUCUGUGUCGUUAUGAAUUUGUACUAUCUGAGAUAGGGAUUCACACAUGAUAGGCUUCCUGAGACUAUCACGGAGGUGCGUAGGCUUGGAUUCUCAGAAGUGGGAAUUCGGGUCAUUUCAAAAAACUAUGGACGAAACAACUCGUAAAAUGCAAAAUAUCGUUUUGUGAUUCCAGUCACAACAUUUAAUUCAUACAUGAUGUAAAAACAUUUAAGUAUACACGGGAUGGAAUGAAAUGAUCUCUAGCCUCAAUAGAUUUGUGGAAGAGUACUUUACUGUGUUAGAGGCAAUGUGAACCGAGUAUAUCACCAUGUUUGGUCACGCAACGUAUUAUUCACGAAGAAUGAAACUCUCACCGAGAGUGAUCAUAUAAAACCAACAAGUCCAUGCCGCGCCAGUAUAAGAUACGAAAGGCAACAUACACAAAAUAACUUAUUUAUACAAUUAUCUCUUUCAAUGAGUCAACCUUUCUGCUUCUUUCUAUCUCUCUCCUCUCCAAUUAUUGUCUGAUUGUCAUCCCGUGUAGGUUCUUGAUAACACAUGUCUUCUUUUUUCUCUGUCUACUCCAUACGUGCGCAAUUUUCUCCUGUUUGUCAGCUCCAUAUGUAAGUAGGUUAUAACAUAGAUUCUGUGACGAACCCCAUGGCACAUGAGAAAUAUUACUAUUCUUCUUCUUCUCCUCCUCCUAGCUGCUGCUAUUUAUUUUUCCCUUCUACUACGACAAAAAUCCAUCAUUGUGACAAUAAUCGAUCAUCGUAUCGGAUGCGUUCAAUUGGAUGUAGACUCGUAAGUCAUCCGCGCAGAUCGCGCGAGUUUCCAACAACCCGGUUGUCACCAAAAAUCUUCCGCUCACGUACGUAAUCCGUCAAGUCGCUUUCUGGUUAUUAGUGAGCCGUAACCGUGCCAGACUAGUAACAAGCCCACCGCACCCACUGCUGCACUGACCACAGAGUAUAGAUGUAUGGAUCAGUAGAGGACAUAUUAUUGGGGACGGGCUUAUUUAGCUGGGAGCAAGUGUACCUCUCACAAACCUGCCAAAUUAAGAGUCGAUGUGUGUUCAUCUGCAGACAACUCGUCGUUGUCUUGCGUAAAUGCUGCUGCGACGACAACUGAUAUUUUUUGCCUGACAAAUGAAAUACGGCACACGUGCUGCUAGCUCGUACAGGCGGAUUGGCCGCGCGCUACAUCACGAUAGCCCCGAUGGUGUUGUAGGAGAACCCAAGAGCACGGAUGAUGGACAUAACGGUAAUAGACACACUGCCAUUCAUUUCGUGACGACUGCUGCACUACUACGAGCCCGGUAAACGGGGUGGUCAGCUCCGAGGUAAUGUUGCCGUUGGGUACCCUUACCCGUUCCCCAAAUCCACACCCGGUGAAACGGGUAGGUAUAAGGAGUUCCCAUUGACAAAAUGUUAGGAUACGGAUAAACGCGUCACGCCCACCACCACGUAUAGCUCGGCAGCUCAAACGCCACAUCCAAACCCACCACCAUGUCCACGUCACUCCACACGACUUGAAGAAAAUUCUCUGCGGUAGUGCUGCACCGCAUCCCUGGUGUGGCACUGCCCAGGAUGUCGACACGUGGCAAUCGGCCGAAAUCAGGAGCAGGCUUAUCCGCAGGAGCUGCGCGCCGUUCUGAGCCGAGCUGAGCAGACGUCGUAAGAAGGCCCAUCUGCUGCACGAGCGGCGUUCCACCAUCGAGCUGACUCGCGCAACUCGCGCCAGCCGUUUUGUGACCGAGCUGGUUCCGUAGCAUCCAUCGAAGGCGGCUCCGUCCAAAAUCAGAUCGAGCCUGCCCUCCUUCUCGCCCAGGUCGUUCUUCACUCGCGAAGGAGGAGGCUUCUCUGUUUGAAUCGACGGAGCAGCGGGAAACAAGUAAGGAUGAGAGGCGACCAGCGGCGGCGGCGGGUCGUCGAGCUGUGCGGCGCGAGCGGUGGCCGGUGGGUCAUCGAGCAGUCGUUGGAACUGCAAGUGUGAAGCAGACCAGCAAGCUUGAUGGCCUCCAUCAAGCCGGCUAUCUUGUACGGGCGAACAGGAAAAAAAGUAUGCCUACUGUAUUUAUGUAUUCAAAUGUCCGUCUAUUUUGGAUGAGCAAGCAAGUGGCUUAGUGAAAAGAACAAAUCAAUGGCUAAAGCAGUUUCUGCUUCUAAGAAAUAAUUGUGUAUCAAUGACAAUGUUUGUCGUGUUUGGCCAAUGAGAUAUAACUUUGUCUUUUGAAUUCAUCAGAAAACAAGAUGUGCAUCUAGUGCUCUCAACUUCCAAUGGACGAGAUGAAAAGUGCAAUCUGGAGGGGUGGUCAGACAUCAGCUCUCAAGUUUCAGUUUACAUGCAAGAUGAAACAGCAAGCAGAAAGAAAACUGAAAGUUUUGGUGAAGCUAAAAAUUACAGUGGUCUUGAUAAAUAGGGUGUUAAUUGUUACUGAAUUGUUUUGUUUGUAUAAAAUAAGACUGGGCAUUUGCCCUUUUCUUCUACUGUAUGGAAUUGUCUGAUUCCUUCCUUCUGUUGGCCGUAUGGAAUUGUAAAUGGAUCCUAUUUCUGCUAUCCCAAAUAGAAAUGUCCUGAUAUUAUUGAAGAGAAUGGAUCACAAAUGAAAGAGCAGUAGCUGUAUGGUGUCCAGAAUAGUUCAGAAUCACUGAAACAGGAUGAUCUCGAUGGUGAACCACAAGCAACUGCAAUCUCGGCAGCCGCUGCUGCCUCAACGUUGAGGGUAGAUGGCAGAAGGGUACGAACCAUGUUGCCAUCACCAGAAAUCGAAUGCCCGGCGGCAGACUUUUCCAAUGAGGACAGCCACGAAUAUAAUGGAAAAUUAGGGCAUCUGAUUGCCUGGCGGCAGCAGAAUUCUCCACGCGACGAGGAAAGAGGCGGCCCUGAUCCCAUUUUGACUGGGCUUUCUUCAAUCAGGAGAACGGGGAGGACCGUCGGCUUGAUUGCCCAUGGGCAACCUAUACCUUUUCCUCCUUUUCAUUUAAGAAGUUUCUAGUAACUUAUCAUGAAUUUAGCUAAAACUAUUGGCAUACCAAAUUCUUGGUAACGAAUCAAGUGAUAGCCAAAACUUUCUAGGCAUGAUUUGAAUUUGGUUGGGCAAAUAUUGGAACCCAACCAAUCAGGAUGUCAGUUCUCCUCGUGCAUGGUCUGCUCGGCUUGGCUAGGCUCAGAAUGGCGCACAACUCCCGCGGAUAGGCCUGCUCCUGAUUCGGCCGAUUGCCACCCGUUGAUAUCAUGGGCGGUGUCGCACCAGUUUGGUGGAGCUCCCACCAGUUCCGGUUCCUCUACUGACGCGCUACUACGCGCUACUAGCGCGUCAGAGGAGCAGGGGCGAAGCCAAGUAGUGUUUGCCUGGUGCACAUGCACCAGGGUAAAAUGCUAUUUUUCCUUGUUAAUAGCCCAUAAUCACCUCAUGUGCACUCCCCUUUGGUCAAACUGGUGCACCAGGCAGAGAGUCCUCUUCCCCUUGCCGCUGGGCCUGGACAAAGCAAGGCGUGCAGCAUGCCAACCAACUCCGUUGCCGUGGCCAAAUUAUCUAUAAAUUGCUAUAUCCAUCGAUGGGGUACACACGUGUUUGUUCAGAACUUUAAGCCUGCAUAAAUGCAUAAUGUUUGCACUAUUUGAAGAUUAAUUAUAUGUGCCUUCACGGUUCUAAUAACUGCUCAAGCGUCUAAUCUUGAUUUAGUAUUUAGAAAUAGAGGAAUCACACAUUCAUAAAAAUAUAUCUUCUCACAGGUCGCAGCAUCAGGUGGCCUCGUGAGACAGCAAACCAAGAUUGCUCAGCAUCGAUAAUUCUUCCUUGUUUACUCAAGUGCAUUCUAGUUCAAUAAAUUGCUUUAAGAGAUAUAGACAUAAGCGAUUACAUCAUUUUCUUUUUACAAAGCACAUACACAUCCGUACGCACCCCUGCUAACUGCCAAAUGCAUGUACACAUACUCUACCCCUUUGAAUGCCUAUGAGAUGGGGAGAGAAUCAAAAUUCCGUCAUGAUUGAAAUCACUAUUCAUCCGAAAUAUCGCUGUCUUCACUAAAAGAUCUACCUUCUAAACUUAAAUUUCGUCCGAAAUUUCAAGAAUUUUGAUCAUUUCAAUGGGAUCUAAAAAUACCGAAAAUAAAAUUUAAAACCCAAAUUGGGACUACAAAUCUUGAGACUUACCAUUCAUUCCUUGAAAAUUUGAAAGUAUAAUUAGUCGUAAAUGCAUCCAAUCGUGCUUAACUGGAUGUUCGAAUCUGGUUGGAUAUGUUCCACCACAAGAAACCUAAGCAAGUCUUUAUUUUCUUAUCUUUGAUUCAUGUUUACCAAGAAAAAUGCUUUAAUAAUUAUUAUAUGCUCUAUGGAUGUAAAUAGAAAAACAAUGACCAAAUCCGCCCACAUUUGACAAUUAUCUUUCAACAAAACUAUGAAAUAGAAGAGUGUGGUCGGAGUAGUUGGAAAUGUAUGCAUGUCAAGACGAUGCACCAAGGUUUUCCGAGCUCUAGCUUCGCCCCUGCAGAGGAGCCGGAGCUGGAGAAGCCACAAAAACUAGUUCCACCGGCUCCUCGAUCUAUGGGAGGCAGGGAGAAGGGGGAUAAAAAUAGCUCGUAUGAACAGUAUUGCUACAGUGCGUGAAUAGUAAAAUGGUAGAAGAAGCCAGAGCUGUUUAGAGUCGCACCGGAAGUAGCCGGAGCUGUUUAGAACCGCACCAAACUAGCCCUAAGCUGCAGUCAUGGUUACGAGUGCGCCGGAUCCUUGUCCGUCCGCGACAGCCUCCUCACUCCUGUCCCCGUGUAAUUAAUAAGCUCUGCCAGCGACCAGUACGUAGUCUUCGACAGACGACAGGCCGUCGGGGACACGCUGCGGACUGAGCCAGCGAGCGACAUGGUCAGCUCACGAGACGCCGAGGCGCCACUGCUCGCCGAGCCCGACGACGCCGCCGCUCCGGCGCCGGCGCCGGGGAAGCGCAACAAGUACCCCUUCUUCUGCGCCGUGCUCGCCUCCAUGACCUCCGUCCUCACGGGCUACAGUACGUUCAUAUAAGCAUCUUUUGCAUAUAUACAUAUAUGUACGUAUCAUCACAGACGCCGUGCCACGGCAUGCUUGAUCGGUGGCAGACGUGGCGGUGAUGAGCGGCGCGCAGAUCUUCAUGGCGGAGGACCUGGGCAUCAGCGACGCGCAGAUCGAGGUGCUCUCGGGGAUCAUCAACCUCUACUCGCUCGCCGGCGCGCUGCUGGCCGGGUGGACCUCCGACCGCCUCGGCCGCCGCCUCACCAUCGUGCUCGCCAACGUCCUCUUCCUCCUCGGCCCGCUGUGCAUGACGCUCGCCGAAGGGUACAACGCGCUCAUGGUGGGGCGGUUCAUCGCCGGCAUCGCCGUCGGCUACGACUUCGUCAUCGCCCCCAUCUACGCCGCCGAGAUCGCGCCGGCGUCCUCCCGCGGCCUCCUCACCUCAGUCCCCGAGGUAUCCUACCAUAGCUGUGCGUCAAGAACAAUUAUCGACAUAUUUGAUUUGAUUAUUUUGUGCAUUCUUUUGCCUUGAAGAUUUUUAACAACACUGGAGUGAUGCUGAGCUACGUGUCGAACCUCGCCUUCUCCGGGCUGCCGGCGCACCUGUCGUGGCGUGUGAUGUUCGCGGCCGGGGUGGUGCCGCCGGUGUUCCUGGCGGUAGGCACGCUCACCAUGCCGGAGUCGCCGCGGUGGCUGGUGAUGAAGGGCCGGGUCGCUGAGGCCAAGGUCGUGCUGGACAGGACGUCGGACACGGCAGCGGAGGCCGAGCAGCGGCUGCUCGAGAUUGUGGGAGUCGUCUCCGGCGACAGCGGCGGAGGGAAAGGGAGGAGCAGCGGCGCGUGGAAGGAGGCCGCGGCGAAGCCCGGAGUCCGGCGCGUGUUGGCCAUGGUGCUGACGCUGCAGUUCUUCCAGCAGGCGUCGGGCAUCGACUCGGUGGUGCUGUACGGCCCGCGGAUCCUCGCCACGGCUGGCGUCACCAGCACCUCGGUCCUCAGCCUCAACGUCCUCUUCGGCGUCGCUAAGGCCGGGUCCAUCCUCAUCGCCAUGGCGCUGGUCGACCGCGCCGGCCGCCGGCCGCUGCUCCUCGUGAGCACGGGCGGCAUGACGGCGUCGCUGCUGCUGGUGGGCUCCCUGUUCGCGGCGUCCGCGGGCGCCGCCAAGCAGGACGCGGUGGCGUCGACGGCGAGCGUGGCGGCGGUGGUGUCGUACGUGGUGUUCUUCUCCAUGGGGCUGGGGCCCAUGGCGUGGGUGUACAGCUCGGAGAUCCUGCCGCUGCGGCUGCGGGCGCAGGGCGCCGGGCUCGGCACGGCGAUGAACCGCGUCAUGUGCGCGGUGGUCAUCAUGACCUUCAUCACGCUCUACAAGGCCAUCACCAUGGCGGGAGCGUUCUACCUCUACGCAGCCAUCGCGGCCGCCGCGUUUGUGUUCGUCUACACGUGCCUGCCGGAGACCAGGGGACGGAGCCUCGAGGACAUGGAGGAGCUCUUCCACACAAAGUGACAAGUGUGAUCUGAUCCAACAAUCAUUCAGACAAAUGUACGAGUUUUGGACUUUGGCCAAAAUAAAUUUCCAUAUAGAUCCUAAGAGACUUAUACAUGGUAUGGUGGGGCCGCGGGAGACAACGUUAGAGAGACUUAUUCCCACUUUGCUACUCAAGCUGGAAAAAGAUUAGCUUCAGCUAGCCUUAAUCCCGUACAUUCGCACUUGCUAGUUCAUAUAUGGUACUUCUUGUUAGAAGUGCCGUAUCAUAUACUGAUACAGGGAAUGAUACGAAUAACAUUCGAGGUUCUUUUUUAAGCAACCCCACACUCCAGCUACACAAAUUGUAGGAAUGAUAUUCGGGGUUCUUUUUUAGGAGCAAUCCCUAUACUCCAGCUACACAAAUUGUAGGAAUAGGUUGAAUAGUCUCUUGCUCUUGGUUGGGUUGGUGUUUUUUUAGAGAGCUACGGUAUCCAACUAUUACAGUGCCACCAGUGGUGAACACUUUGGACAAAUUCACUCAAAAUGGGACGUGUGAUAUAUGGUUAACAUAUCUCAUUAGGUCGUGACCAUAGAAAAAUGAGUUUGGAUAUUUAAAUAGGAGGUCAAAGAUUGAACUUUACUUUGUUUCAGCAUUUCCUGGGUUUACUGACGGACGAGUCUAAAGGUUCAUAAGCAACUCGUGAUUUUGCCUAGAUUUUAGCGAUUCGUAUCUUUAAAUCCAUUGAUCUUUGGAGCAAAAGUUCUAUUAUUUAUUACUAGUAGCUGUUUGUACCAGCUCCAACUUUGGUCGAAGGUCCAGGACGAGUUGGUGUUUGGUUAGGAUGAGUUUCAUCGAAAAAGGGACUGCAUUUGUGUGCACUUUUAAGCUGCAACUGCAGCUGCUGCGUUCUUCUUUUCUUCUGCCCGCAAGAACAAAGCUCCGCCAUCGCCAAUCGAUUCGAGAGCUCAGCUCCUCCACCGGCAGAUUCCUUCUGUCCAGGGAUUCUCCACAACACCAUAAGCCUCUCCACUCCAUCAAUCAACAAUCAAAUCAACAGCCGCGCCAAGCUCAUUCAUCCCACCUUGUUUGCGCAUAGUGAAGUCGAGUGAUCCUGCUAAACACAUUGGAAUUAAGUCUCAUGUUUUUUGUGACCCUGGAUCUCGAUUUGUGCUGCUGUGUACUUGUAUUUCAGAGGCAAGAUGAGUAAAAUGAAGUGUAUUUUUGUGGCCCUACCUCUGCACGUUGCUGAUUUGUUCAUUGAAAAGCUUCCUGCUGCUUGUGUUGCGAUAAAAAAAAAGCACUUAUCCCUCUUCCCAACUCCUCUCUUCAAAUCCUAUGGUUGCGCAUAUAUGACAAUACGAUGCUCUAAAUGAUUUUUCUGUGAUGGAAAUGAUGAUGGAUUCGUAUUAUUCAUGGUUGAUGGCCACCAUUAUUCUAAGCAUACGUGUCCAUGUCAAUGAUGCCUGUGAUAUUAAUCUGAGCACACUUGUCCAUGUCAAUGAUGCCUACGAUAUUAAUCUGAGCACACUUGUCCAUGUCAAUAAUGCCUAUGAUAUUAAUCUGAGCACACUUGUCCAUGUCAAUGAUAUGUGUUAUAUUAAUCUGAGCAUACUUGUCCAUGUCAAUGAUGUCUUGUUAACUCUGCCACUUGUGCAUUUUUGUGCAAACACUAAAGGCUAUGUUACUUGUUAUUUAUAUAGAUGGCUCUUGAAGACAAGAGACGCAUGCUUAUUGUUUAUGCAUCUGCUCUAGUCAUUGCCAUGUAUGCAUUCUUCCUAAAUAGGAUUAGAAUGGGUCAAUGCUCACGACCUCAGAUUACUUAUGCCCCAAUGAGUGCUAUGGAUGAGGAAUGACAAAAGAACUUGGAUAAAAUUUAUAACUACAAUGAUGUAGAGUGUGUAAACAUGCUUCGCAUGAGAAGAGCCCCUUUCUUUCAGCUAUGCAAUUUGCUUAAAGAUAGAAACCUGCUUAGAGACACCAUACAUAGCAGUGUAGAAGAGCAAGUUACAAUGUUUCUUCAUGUUGUUGGGCAUAACCAAAGAAUUCGAGUUAUACACCAAAAUUGGAGGAGGUCUGUAGAGAUAGUGAGUAGACAUUUCUGUGGCGGAACUUGUUGGAGGUAUGCCCUAGAGGCAAUCAUAGAGAUGAUGAUAUUCCAUUUGUAUCCAUGAUUUGUAUAUUGUGUUCAUUGAAUAUCCAUUAAAGGCUACUUGAAUUGAUUUGCAAUUAUGUGAAUUGUAUGUGAAACUCUUUACUUGUAUGGUUAUUCUAAAGUUGUCCCUAGUCGGAGUUCAUGUGAGGACACACAUGAAUAUUAGACUAGCACAUGUAUUAGUUGAUGACUAUGUUUCACAAGUCAUGGACAUGGAGAUGUUGAACUAAUAAUGUGGACACAUGUGGAGACAUGUGCUAGGACUGACCCAACACGAGAAGUAGUUCUCUCUUUAAACAACAUAUACGCUUUGUCCUUAGACCUGAGAUUGUCGCAUGUAUUCUAGAUGUGGAUCGACCUACUUAGGGGCUAUCAAACGCUACGCCGUAACAGGGUAGUUAUAAAGGUAGCUUUCGGGUUUGUCAAGAAGCAUGCUAUGAGACAUGGUCAAUCAAGAUGGGAUUUGCCCCUCUCUGAUUGAGAGUGAUAUCUCUGGGCCCCUCGAGUGAUCGGAUCCGAAAAUGCAUGGCCAUGCUACGUACGGUUAAGAGUUAACCUACAAAGGGAUUCCGAAUCACAGGAUCGAGAAAGAGCGGUCGGCUUGAAGCUAGACCAAAUAUCGUGAGGCGAAGGGAAUAGCAUGUAUAUUAUGUUGUGAUGGUUCGUCUGAUAUGAUCUUCGUGUGCGUAUAGGAGUUGGCACGUCUUGCUAGAGGCCGCUACCGACUAUUGGGCCGAGUAGGAGUACUCGGGCCAUGUCUAUACGUAUCCGAACCCAUAGGGUCACACACUUAAGGGGCUGGAAGCCCAAUUCGGAUCUGAUCCGAGUUGGAUUAGGUUUAGAAGUACUAAUGGGCCUCGGACCCAGAGGCCCGUCAGGAACCUCUAUAAAUAGAGGGGUGGGGGCACCCUAGGGUUUACACCUUUUUGGCGAAACACACCUGCCGCGCCUCCCACGCCCUCGCCUGUUGCAACUCGCGGAUCUAGCAGUCCGGCUUGCGACGCUUCCUCCCUACACGUGUGGAUACCUUGGAGGUGUUGCGCCUGCAGCACUUGGACGAGCCGCCGACGAGCCACGACGAGCCGACGACGAGCCGCGGCACCGGAGGCGAUCUUGUUGCACGUGGACGAGCUGCUGAGAAGCUGCUGGACGUGAUCGACUAUGUACGACUACGUUGAUCGACUACGUACGACUACGUGAUCGUCUUCACUGCAUCGACGCAUCUCUACAUCUUCCGCACCAGUAGUGCGUCGAGUGGUAAUCCCGUGAUCCUUAUACGGCAGUUAUUCCUGGUUUUACGCGGUAGAAAUUUUGAUUUGCGCUAGUGUAGCCUACCUCGUAUCCCAACAGUGGUAUCAAGAGCCGUAGCUGCUUAGUUUUGGAUUCGGGAUGUGUGCAUAUGGAGAUAUGCGAGUUUUCAGUUUGAUCUAUGUCCUGGUUUCGUGCCCUUGCUGCAAUGGUAGUGUAACGACAUACUCCUACCGGUCGGUUUCCGCCAUCGGAGUUAAGUGAUACACGUAAAUCCAGUUGCAGUGAGCGAAGAUCAAUAUGAUUGGUCGAAUCGAAAUCCAGGGUCAUACGCCAGGCGCAUUAGAUGUGCAAUAGUAGAUGAGAUCUACUGCCGGGGUCGAGAUUUUUGCCGUAUGCGUAUGCUUCGGUAAAUCAGCCGUAACUUUUCGGUACGAUCCCGGAAUGGGGUGAAUUUUAUAUGAAAAUUGAUCUACAGAAAAAAUUACACAUGAAAUUCAACGCUUUGCCGUUUUCGGCGAAAUUAGAUUUCCCAAAUUCGGCUUGGAAGAUGGAGUUUCGGGCAUCCAAAGUUUGGAAUGUUAGGACGCAUAACUCUGUUUUGCAGGAUGUAUGUUUGUAUCUUGUGAUCAGUAUGGCCCCCUUGUGUAUGUGAUGCAUGUGUGUAACUCAUUCGUGACCUGCGUGUCGCGCGUACGGCAACACGGCAGGAGCCAUAUGUGUUGUCACUUUAUUGUAUUUAAUGGUCUGCGUACCAAUCUGUGAUGAUCCAAGCCACUAUGUAAUCUUCAUUACUAGCUUCUUUACUGGCUAUUAGGCGUAAUAGCAUGUUCUAGUUCUUGGAGGACUCAUCACCAGAAGGAUGGCGCACAUGGAACAUGGAGAUGGAGAUCACCAUGGUGAACAGGUUCUAUGGAGAUGGAGAUCACCAUAUGAAAACGGGCCAUACUGUGUCACAGCUGUGUGAAUGCUAUUCUGUUUAUGUUUUACUUUCUGCAUGCUGUGAUGUUAGAAGUAGAACGAUCCCUCACAAAGUUUAAGUUAGUAUGCCCUCCCAACUAAAACUUGCACCGUCCCAUGUCUUGUACAAUUAGUGGUGGGUCUAUGAAAUUAGGGUGCCACUAGUUUUCCUUGACUAGACGGGUUUGUGUCGGACACUUACACGCAUAAGGGUUGGUUUGCCUAACGAGGUCAUCUUAACGGUUAAGGACCUUGGGACAUAAAGGUUGGGCGCCGAGACAUAGAGAUGUCACCCAACAACAGGAGUCAUAUGUGAUAUGAUUAGCAAAAGUUGCUUACCGAUCUACCUCGUUUGCUAGCGGUGAUGCUAAAGCUCACUAGUAGACUUGUUAGUUGUGGAUCCUGAAUCACUAAGUUUCAAUAGAGGGAUAUUGAUUUUAGUGGGAGUAGAUUCUGUUAAAAUAGUUUUAUGUAAUUUGCUCUAUCAUGGAUACGUUUGUCUUAGUAUAUUUUGCAUUACUUUUGUUGUAGAUUAAAUGGCACCUAGCAACACCACCACAUCGUUUGCUUUGCGUUCGGUCCUUGAGAAGGAAAAGUUGAAUGGAACAAACUACUCGGAUUGGAUCCGUAACCUGAGAAUUGUUCUCAGGGCCGAUAAAAAGGAAGAUGUUCUAGACACCCCACUACCACCAGUACCUGCUGAUGAUGCAUCUACUGCCGUUAAGGCUGCUUACAAGAAGGCAUUUGAUGCUAAUCUUGAGGUAAGCUGCCUUAUGCUUGCUUGCAUGGAACCCGAGCUGCAGAUGCAGUUCGAAACAAAUCAUGAGGCACACGAUAUGAUCGUGGCGCUCAAGGACAUGUUCCAGACACAGGCUAGGACCGAAAGGUUCAAUGUGUCCAAAGCCUUUCUGGAGUGCAAGUUAGCAGAAGGUGCAGCAGUGAGACCACAUGUAAUCAAGAUGGUUGGUUACACUCAGCGAUUGGAGAAGCUGGGCUUCCCAAUGGGCAAAGAGUUGGCCACUGACUUCAUUCUUUCAUCUCUUCCGCCUAGCUAUGGGAACUUCAUCUCGAACUACCAUAUGCAUGGGACGGAGAAGGGUUUGAAUGAACUGUGUGGUAUGCUCAAGACAGCAGAGGUAGACAUCAAGAAAAGCGCUAGUACCAGCCAUGUGAUGGCUAUACAGAACAAGCCUAGCUUUAAGAAGAAGGGCAAUUCUUGGAAGAAGAAGGGCAAGGCUGGAACGUCCAAGCCAAACCCAGCGCUCAAGGUUAAAGCUGGACCUGGACCUGCUCCAGACAAAGAGUGCUUUUACUGUCAUGAACUUGGUCACUGGAAGAGAAACUGCAAGCAGUACCUAGCUUCCUUAAAGAAUGGCGGAAGUAAGAGUACUUCUACCUCAGGUACGCUUGUUGUUAAUGUUAUAGACAACAUAUUUCUCGCUGAUACAAUUAUUAAUUCUUGGGUAUUUGAUACUGGAUCGGUUGCUCAUAUUUGCAAUUCGAUGCAGGGAAUGAUAAGAAGUAGAAGCGUGGAAAGAGGAGAAGUUGAUUUCCGCGUGGGCAAUAAUGUAAGAGUUGCUGCGUUGACCGUCGGGACGAUGCAACUCCACCUCCCGUCAGGAUUUAUUAUGGAGUUGAAUAAUUGUUAUUUUGUUCCUAGUUUAAGUCGAAACAUUUUAUCUCCUUCAUGCUUGAUGAAGGAUGGUUAUUCAUUUGCGAGUGAAAACAAUGGUUGUGUGAUCUCUAAGAAUAAUAUGUUUAUGGCUUUUGCACCCAUUGUGAAUGGAUUAUUUGUUUUAAAUCUUGAUGGUUCACCUGUCUGUAAUGUAAGUGCUAAAAGGCCUCGGCCUAAUGAUUUGAGUCCUACCUACUUGUGGCAUUGUCGUUUGGGUCAUAUAAGUGAAAAGCGCAUGAAGAAUCUCCAUUUUGAUGGACUUCUAACUUCGUUUGAUUUUGAAUCAUACGAGACAUGUGAGGCUUGCUUGCUAGGCAAGAUGACCAAGACGCCUUUCACAGGAUUUCCUGAGAGAGCAGUAGACUUGUUGGAACUCGUACAUAGUGAUGUAUGCGGACCAAUGAGCACGACGGCUAGAGGAGGAUUCCAAUACUUCAUAACUUUCACUGAUGAUUUCAGUAGAUAUGGCUAUGUCUACUUGAUGAGGCACAAGUCUGAAACCUUUGAAAAGUUCAAGGAAUUUCAGAAUGAAGUUGAAAAUCAGCGUGGCAAGAAAAUUAAGGCCUUACGAUCUGAUCGUGGAGGCGAGUAUUUGAGCCACGAGUUUAGCAAUCAUCUAAAAGAGUUGCGGAAUUGUUCCACAACUUACGCCGCCUAGAACACCUCAGAGAAACGGUGUGUCCGAGCGACGUAAUCGAACUUUGUUAGACAUGGUUCGAUCAAUGAUGAGCCAGUCGGACCUACCGUUGUCAUUUUGGGGAUACGCUCUAGAAACAACAGCUUUCACACUUAAUAGGGUACCAUCUAAAUCCGUAGUUAAGACACCAUAUGAGAUAUGGACCGGAAAGGUUCCUAGUUUGUCUUUUCUAAAGAUUUGGGGAUGUGAAGUCUUCGUCAAACGACUUCAGUCGGACAAGAUCACACCCAAGUCGGAUAAGUGCAUUUUCGUGGGAUAUCCAAAGGAAACUUUGGGAUAUUAUUUCUACAACCGAUCAGAAGGCAAAGUGUUUGUCGCUCGGAACGGGGUUUUCCUAGAGAAAGAGUUUCUCAAAGGAGAAAAGAGUGGAAAGACAGUGCAUCUUGAAGAAGUUCAAGAUGAGCCGAUCGGGCAAGAAUCAAUGAGUGAUGCUAACGUAGCAGAAUAAGUUGAGAUACCCAUGGCAAGAGAAGCACCGCCACAACCACGAAGGUCGGCAAGGCUCCGCGAAAUGCGGGAAAUAUUAUUGUUGGACAAUGAUGAGCCUGCGACAUAUGCAGAAGCAAUGAUGGACCCAGACUCCGAAAAAUGGCAGAGUGCCAUGCAAUCCGAAAUAGAGUCCAUGGGAGACAAUCAAGUUUGGAACUUGGUUGACCCGCCUGAUGGUGUUAAAGCCAUAGAGUGCAAGUGGAUCUAUAAGAAGAAAAAGGACAUGGAUGGAAAUGUUCACAUCUAUAAAGCACGACUUGUCGCAAAAGGUUUUCGACAAGUUCAAGGAGUUGACUACGACGAGACCUUCUCGCCCGUAGUGAUGCUUAAGUCCAUUCGGAUUAUUCUAGCUAUAGUUGCAUAUUUCGAUUAUGAGAUAUGGCAGAUGGAUGUCAAGAUAGCUUUCCUGAAUGGAAACCUAGCUGAGGACGUGUAUAUGAUACAGCCCGAGGGUUUUGUCGAUCUGAAAAAUGCUGGAAAGGUAUGCAAGCUUCAGAGAUCCAUUUAUGGAUUGAAGCAAGCAUCUAGGAGUUGGAACAUUCGUUUUGAUGAAGUGGUCAAAGGGUUUGACUUCACCAAGAACGAAGAAGAGUCUUGUGUUUACAAGAAGGUUAGUGGGAGCUCUGUAGUAUUUUUAAUCUUAUAUGUGGAUGACAUAUUACUGAUUGGAAAUAACAUUCCUAUGCUUGAGUCCGUAAAGACUUCACUGAAAAAUAGUUUUUCGAUGAAGGACUUAGGGGAAGCGACAUAUAUUCUAGGCAUUAAGAUCUAUAGAGAUAGAUCGAGAAGGCUUAUAGGUUUAAGCCAAGAUACUUACAUUGACAAAGUGUUGAAGCGGUUCAGCAUGGAAGAGGCAAAGAAAGGGUUCUUGCCUAUGUCACAUGGCAUACAUCUCAGCAAGACUCAGUGUCCUUCGACUGCUGAUGAGCGGGAUCGCAUGAGUAGAGUGUCAUAUGCCUCGGCUAUUGGAUCUAUCAUGUAUGCAAUGAUAAGUACUCGCCCAGAUGUUUCAUAUGCGCUAAGUAUGACAAGCAGACACCAAUCUGAUCCAGGUGAGAGUCACUGGACAGCGGUGAAAAACAUUCUUAAGUACUUGAGAAGGACUAAAGAUAUGUUCCUCGUCUAUGGAGGUGAGAAGGAGCUCGUUGUAACAGGUUACACCGAUGCUAGUUUCCAAACCGACAGAGAUGAUUCAAAGUCACAAUCAGGAUUUGUGUUCACACUGAAUGGUGGUGCUGUUAGUUGGAAGAGUUCCAAGCAGGAGAUGGUGGCCGAUUCUACGACAGAAACCGAGUACAUCGCGGCUUCGGAAGCCGCGAAGGAAGGUGUUUGGAUAAGGAAUUUCCUCAUUGAGCUUGGUGUGUUCCCGAAUGCGUCCAGCCCUUUGAAUCUCUACUGUGAUAAUAAUGGGGCAAUUGCGCAAGCAAAGGAGCCAAGGAACCACCAGAAGAACAAACACGUAAUGCGGCGAUUUCAUCUCAUUCGAGACUUCGUUAACCGGGGUGAGAUCAAGAUAUGCAAAAUACACACGGAUCUGAACAUUUCUGAUCCGUUGACAAAACCACUCCCGCAGGCUAAGCAUGAUGCGCAUGUAAGAGCUAUGGGUAUUAGGUACCUUCUAGAUUGACUCUAGUGCAAGUGGGAGACUGUUGGAGGUAUGCCCUAGAGGCAAUCAUAGAGAUGAUGAUAUUCCAUUUGUAUCCAUGAUUUGUAUAUUGUGUUCAUUGAAUAUCCAUUAAAGGCUACUUGAAUUGAUUUGCAAUUAUGUGAAUUGUAUGUGAAACUCUUUACUUGUAUGGUUAUUCUAAAGUUGUCCCUAGUCGGAGUUCAUGUGAGGACACACAUGAAUAUUAGACUAGCACAUGUAUUAGUUGAUGACUAUGUUUCACAAGUCAUGGACAUGGAGAUGUUGAACUAAUAAUGUGGACACAUGUGGAGACAUGUGCUAGGACUGACCCAACACGAGAAGUAGUUCUCUCUUUAAACAACAUAUACGCUUUGUCCUUAGACCUGAGAUUGUCGCAUGUAUUCUAGAUGUGGAUCGACCUACUUAGGGGCUAUCAAACGCUACGCCGUAACAGGGUAGUUAUAAAGGUAGCUUUCGGGUUUGUCAAGAAGCAUGCUAUGAGACAUGGUCAAUCAAGAUGGGAUUUGCCCCUCUCUGAUUGAGAGUGAUAUCUCUGGGCCCCUCGAGUGAUCGGAUCCGAAAAUGCAUGGCCAUGCUACGUACGGUUAAGAGUUAACCUACAAAGGGAUUCCGAAUCACAGGAUCGAGAAAGAGCGGUCGGCUUGAAGCUAGACCAAAUAUCGUGAGGCGAAGGGAAUAGCAUGUAUAUUAUGUUGUGAUGGUUCGUCUGAUAUGAUCUUCGUGUGCGUAUAGGAGUUGGCACGUCUUGCUAGAGGCCGCUACCGACUAUUGGGCCGAGUAGGAGUACUCGGGCCAUGUCUAUACGUAUCCGAACCCAUAGGGUCACACACUUAAGGGGCUGGAAGCCCAAUUCGGAUCUGAUCCGAGUUGGAUUAGGUUUAGAAGUACUAAUGGGCCUCGGACCCAGAGGCCCGUCAGGAACCUCUAUAAAUAGAGGGGUGGGGGCACCCUAGGGUUUACACCUUUUUGGCGAAACACACCUGCCGCGCCUCCCACGCCCUCGCCUGUUGCAACUCGCGGAUCUAGCAGUCCGGCUUGCGACGCUUCCUCCCUACACGUGUGGAUACCUUGGAGGUGUUGCGCCUGCAGCACUUGGACGAGCCGCCGACGAGCCACGACGAGCCGACGACGAGCCGCGGCACCGGAGGCGAUCUUGUUGCACGUGGACGAGCUGCUGAGAAGCCGCUGGACGUGAUCGACUACGUACGACUACAUUGAUCGACUACGUACGACUACGUGAUCGUCUUCACUGCAUCGACACAUAUCUACAUCUUCCGCACCAGUAGUGCGUCGAGUGGUAAUCCCGUGAUCCUUAUAAGGCAGUUAUUCCUGGUUUUACGCGGUAGAAAUUUUGAUUUGCGCUAGUGUAGCCUACCUCGUAUCCCAACAGAACCACCCAAAUAGUAAAAUAUGACAUACUAGGUUGUAGAUAUUUAAGUUCUUUUCAUGUUGUUAUUUGUUCAUUAUAUAUCCUUUAUGGUCAUAAUACUGAGUGCUUUGCAGUUUCUCUUGUCAUGGAAGCACAUCAAUACCUACCUGCUUUAUGUACUCGACAUUGAGCGAAAGAAACUUAUUGUGAUUGACCCUAAACCCAUUCCAAAUUAUGCCACAGAUGUGUCAUAUAAACAUUAUGCAAUACAGAUUGUAGGGUUUCGCCUAAAAUUUCAGGCUACAUUUAGACAGCUUAAACCUGAUUCAUGGAAGGAUGUUAACAAAUAGGAAUUUGAACGUGUCAAAGGGAUUGCAGAAGACACUAAUGGGUAAUUAAAAGCAUCUAGGCCCAUAAUUUGAGUUUUGGUAAUAAAUGACAACCCCUUGACGACUACUGUUUUUCAAUGAGCAAUAUUGAGUGUAGGUUAGUCCCGUGGAUGAGUUGUGGCCAUGAUUCUUAGUAUGAUGACAUUCAAAUUUGAUUUGAUGAUGGAAGGCUCAAGGCAAAGGUAUAAAAUAGGGUUUUUCCUUUUUGCCGGUCAAACAUGCGCUUAGUGGAUGAACAAUAUGACCGGUUUUAAUAGGAUAGAUGGCCGUACUAUUAAGAGGGGUCAAUUCUCCUAUUGCUUGAGGGUUCUAUAGUACCUCUUUGCUCAAAAGAAUGCAUUGCAUAUCAAAGUUUUGAUCUAAGAUGAGCAUAUGGUUUCUUUUAUAUUGAAAAGAUCUCUUUUGAAAGAGUUUCUGUGCCAAUGGUGGACGGUCCGCAAUUCAUUUAGCGGACGGUCCGCUAAGGUCCUCCAGAAACUAUUUCUGCCAAGUGUUUGAACCGCGGACGGUCCGCAGUUCAUUUAGCGGAUAGUCCGCUAAGGGUCUCCAGAAACUAUUCCUGCCGGGUGUUUGAACUACGGAUGGUCCGCGGUUCAUUUGGUGGACGGUCCACUGGACGCGGACGGUCUGCGACUUGUACCGCGGAUGAUCCGCGACCCCGUAAUGGUUUUUCUCUGACACGCAUUAAAUGCCAAUAGAGCCGUUGGACUUUGUACUGCGGACGGUCCGCGGUUUCCCAGUUUUGCAUGAAAUUUUACUGUAACGGCUAGUUUUGGUGGUGGGGGUUAUAAAUACCCCCCCACCGGUUGUUGGAGCUCUCUCUUAGUUCUUUGGACUACAUUUAUGAUCUUUUGAGUCUCUCUCCACCUCUCACUCACUUGCAUUGAAUUGAGAUUGCUUUCUAGUGAGUUUGAGAGGCUUCUAGUGCAUUGCAUUGAUUUCUUGAGCUUUGGGGCACUAGGGAGUCUUUAAGCAAGCGUCAAUUGGCUUAUUACUCUUGGAGGUUGCCGCUUCCUAGACGGCUUGGAGCUUGUGGAGCCGUUGAGAACUUCAAGGAGAUUGUGAAGUUGCUCCGGCUAUUUUUGUGAGAGGUUUUGUGCUCACCUCAUCGGAGUGAUGAAGAGUAACUCUAGUGGAAACGAGGUUUGGAGAGGUUCUUUGAUUUAAUUCAGCUUAAAACAUCAAGCGGUGUCUUGAUAGAGAAACAAUUGAGUCAUUGAAUCCACCUCAACAUGGAUUAGGGGUGACCGGCAAGUCAUCGACACCACGGGAAAACAUCGGUCUCUCUCUCGGUUGUCUUCUUGCUCUCUACCUUCGUAGUAGUACUUACUUCAAGUGAAUGCUUUCAUCUAUCUUAUUUUAUUACUUGUCAUCCUAGCUCAUCUUGACAUACCUAGUAGUAGAUUUACUAGUUGUUGCUUAUCUUGUGGGUUUCUAAUUAAAGUUUAUUAAGUAUUGUGUUUUAGCUUAAAACCGCCUAUUCACCCCCCCUCUAGUCGGUAUCCUAAAUCCUACAAGUGGUACCAGAGCCAAGGACUCCGUAUUUCAAGGGUUUAACCAUCCCGGAGUAGGAUAAAUGGCUAGUGAGAACAAUGUUCAUGUGGGGAAGCCAUCUUUCUUUGAUGGGAAUAACUAUGAUUAUUGGAAGACUAGAAUUAUGGUGCAUCUUAAGGCUAUGGGCAAGAAAGUUUGGAAGAUUGUUAAUGAAGGUUUUGUGAUUCUUGAUGAUAAAAAUAUGAGUGAAGCUGAUGGAGCAAAUGAAUUAUUAAAUGAUCAAGCAAUGAAUGUGCUAUAUGGGGCCCUUGAUGUGAAUGAGUUCAAUCGGGUUAAGAAUCUCUCAACCGCUUAUGAAGUGUGGAACAAGUUAAUGGAAAUUCAUGAAGGGACUUCUACCGUGAAGGAAGCUAAACUUUAUGUGGUCAAAGGAAAGUUUAAUGAAUUCUCUAUGAAGAAGGAUGAAGAUGUCUCAUCCAUGUUCAACCGGUUGAAUGAGAUUGUGAAUGAACUCAAGGGUCUUGGAUUCAAUGUUCCGGAUGAGGAUUUCUCUCACAAAUUUCUUGGGUGUCUCCCAGAGAAAUAUGAUACAAUUAUGACAUUGAUAGUGAGAUCAAAUUUGAAGACUAUGACUCCUACACAAGUGCUAGGUGAAGUACUCACUCAUGAUAUCUUCAAGCAAUCACAAAAUGAAGCACAUGGUGUAGUGAAAGAAGAGGAGAAGAAAAGCAUUGCUCUAACGGCUAAGUCCUCAAAGGAGAACAAAAAUAUUAAGAGUGAUGAUGAUGAUGAUGAUGAUGAUGAUGAUGAUGAUGAUGAAGAAGAAAUGGCAUUGUUUGUAAGAUGGCUAAGAAGAAUCAUGAAGAACAAAAGCUUCAACAAAGGUCAAUCAUCAAAUAAGAAUCCUUUUGAAGAUAAAAAGUGCUUUGAGUGCGGAGAAAUUGGUCAUAUUGCCGCAAAUUGUCCCAACAAGAAGAAGAACAAGGGCAAGAAAUUUGAUGACAAGAAGAAGAGGAAAUUCUAUAAGAAGAAGAAGAAUGGGCAAGCCUAUUAUGUUGAAUGGGAUUCCAAUGCAAGCUCCGACUUGGAAGAUGAUGAGGAUGAUAAGUCUCCAAAGGGGGUCGCCGGAAUUGCCAUCAAGGAAGCUCCAUCUCUCUUCUUCUCACCUUUUUGUCUAAUGGCAAAAGGAAAAACAAAGGUAUCAUUCGAUGAACUUGAUCAUGAUGACGAUAAUGAGCUUACCUAUGAUGAUCUUGUUAACAUGCUUAAUGAAUCCGAUGACUACAUGCGUAAAGAAAAGAAGAAGUUUAAGGAAUUGAAGUUGAAAUUCCAAACACUUCAAGAAACCUAUGAGGAGCUAAAGACUUCUCAUAAGAAUCGAAAAGAAUCUCAUGAGAAGCUUGAGGAAGCUCACAAUUCUCUUCUUGCGCAUGAAGCUAAGGAGAAACUAAGCAUGGGCAUAAAGUGUGCUAUGAAAAAUGAUAUUUCUUGCAUGCCUAGUUCUUCAAAUGCUUGUUAUAGUGAUAUGUCAUUCAUAAGUAAUACCUCUAUGAGUGACUUAGAUAUCAUGAUGGAGAAUGAGAAAUUAAAGAAGGAAGUGGAAUGCUUAAAAAAUGAUUUGAUGAAGUGCUAUGAUAGUAGAGUUCAAUUCAAACAUAUUUGGUCAAGCCAAAAAUUCACGUUGAAUCGUGAAGGGCUAGGAUAUAUUCCUAAGAAAGGAAAGAAAGCUUUCACUCACAAAAUGAUCACAUUUGUCAAAAAUGAAGGCAAGUAUUGCAAAAGGUGCAAGAAUAUUGGACAUAUCAUGAAUGAGUGUACAAAGAAGCAAGCCGUAUCCUUUGAUGCUAGUUAUAUCCUUAAGAAAAAUCAAAAUGGAAACAUUAUUGCUAAAUAUGUUGGGUUACCCACAUUUGGUGCUAAAAAGAAUGCCAUUUGGGUACCGAAGGUCUUGGUUUCUAACAUCCAAGGACCCAAACAAGUUUGGGUACCUAAAAGAGCUUAAUUCUUUUUGUAGGUAAACUACAAGUCCAGAGGAAGAUAUUGGGUAAUUGAUAGUGGAUGCUCUCAACAUAUGACCGGUGAAGUAAAAAUGUUCUCUUCUCUUGAUGAUGAAGCAUCCGGAUAUGAUAAUAUUACCUUUGGAGACAAUGGCAAGGGUGAGGUAAAAGGAUUGGGUAAAAUCACUAUCUCAAAUGAUCACGCCCUUUCAAAUGUGCCAUUGGUUGAUUCUCUAAAAUUCAAUUUAUUUUCGGUUGCUCAACUUUGUGAUCUUGGUUAUAAGUGCACUUUCACUAGUGAUGGUUUUGAGGUCACUAGCAUGGAUGGGAAAAUGUGCAUCUUCAAGGGUUUUAAGCAUUAAAGCUUACACCUUGUGGAUUUUUCUUCGAGUUAUGCCAAGCUAACAACUUGUCUUUUCUCAAAAUCCUCUAUGGGUUGGCUAUGGCAUAGAAUAUUAGCUCAUGUUGGAAUGAAACAAUUGAAUUGUUUGUUGAAACAUGAUCUAGUAGUUGGCUUGAAAGAUGUGAAGUUUGAGAAGGACAAAUUAUGUAGUGCUUGUCAAGCCAGGAAGCAAGUGGGUAACUCUCAUCUAUCCAAGAGCAUAAUGUCAAUCUCAAGGCCAUUGGAACUAUUGCAUAUGGAUUUGUUUGGUCCAACCACAUAUAGAAGCAUUGGGGGAAAUUGCUAUUGUCUCAUGAUUGUUGAUGAUUAUUCAAGAUACACAUGGGGUUUCUUUCUUCAUGACAAGACGGAUACUUGUGACAUUUUCAAGAGAUUUGUGACAAGGGCUAAAAAUGAAUUUGACCUUAAGUUGAAGAAAGUUAGAAGUGAUAAUGGUAGUGAAUUAAACAACACAAGAGUAGAAGAUUUUUGUGAAGAAAAAGGAGUCAAGCAUGAAUUCUCAACCAAGUACACACCGGAACAAAAUGGCUUAGUUGAGAGGAAGAAUAGAACCUUGAUCGAUAUGACAAGAUCAAUGCUUUCAGAAUAUAAUGUAUCGGACUCUUUUUGGGCCGAAGCGAUUAACACCGCAUGCCAUGCAUCAAAUAGGCUCUAUUGUCAUAGAUUCUUCAACAAGACACCAUAUGAGCUACUUGUUGGAAGGAAACCCAAUAUAUCAUAUUUUCGGUUUUUUGGAUGCAACUGCUAUAUCCUAAGGAAGGGUACUCGGUUGUCAAAAUUCCAAAGCAAAUGUAAUGAGGGAUUUCUUCUUAGAUAUUCAUCUUCUAUCAAGGCAUAUAGGGUGUACAACAAAUCAAAGGGUUUUGUUGAGGAAGCAUAUGAUGUGGAAUUUGAUGAAACCAAUGGGUCUCAUGAAGAAAGAGAGAAUUUAGAUGAUGUGAGAAAUGAGGGCUUGAGUAAUGCAAUUAAAACAAUGACUAUUGGAGAUAUCAAGCCUAGAGAAGAAAAUGAGGAGGAGGAUGAUCCAUCCAUCUCUAUAAGAGUGAAUCCUCCAACUUCUAUCACUAAUAUUCAAGAAGAACACAACGAUCAAGAAGUUGAUGAUGGGAUUCCUCAUGAUUAUGGUCAAGAUGACUCUUACAUAUCUCCAUCUACAUCAACUCAAGAACCUAUUGCUCAACCAAUAAUAAGCCAUCACAUUGCAAAAGACCAUCCAAUUGAUCAAAUUGUGGGCGACAUUAGUAAGGGCGUUCAAACUCGUUCUCGUGUUGCCUCUUUUUGUGAAUUUUAUUCUUUUGUGUCCUCUAUUGAGCCUAAUCAUGUAGAUGAAGCACUCCAAGAUCCCGAUUGGGUGAAUGCUAUGCAUGAGGAACUAAAUAAUUUCACCCGAAAUAAAGUUUGGGAAUUAGUUGAGAGAUCCAAGGGUUACAAUGUUAUAGGUACAAAGUGGGUCUUUUGCAACAAGUAAAAUGAAGAUGGGGUUGUUGUAAGAAACAAAGCAAGACUUGUUGCUCAAGGCUAUACUCAAGUUGAAGGAUUGGACUUCGGUGAAACCUUUGUGCCCGUUGCAAGAUUAGAGGCUAUAAGAAUCUUGCUAGCAUAUGCAUGUCAUCAUAAUAUAAAGUUAUAUCAAAUGGAUGUCAAAAGUGCUUUCUUGAAUGGCAAGAUUAGCGAACUAGUGUAUGUCGACCAACCUCCCGGUUUUGAAGAUGUCAAAAAGCCGGACUAUGUAUACAAACUCUCAAAGGCUCUUUAUGGUCUAAAACAAGGCCCCCGUGCUUGGUAUGAGAGGCUAAGAAAUUUUCUCAUCUCUAAGGGAUUUAAAAUUGGGAAAGUUGACACUACACUUUUCACUAAAAGGAUUGGCAAGGAUAUCUUGAUUUGCCAAAUAUAUGUUGAUGAUAUCAUCUUCGGAUCCACUAAUGAAAGCUAUUGUGAAGAAGUGAAAUGAUGUCUAGGGAGUUCGAAAUGUCUAUGAUUGGUGAAUUAAGCUUCUUCCUUGGUCUUCAAAUUAAGCAAUUGAAGGAAGGCACAUUUGUGUGCCAAUCAAAAUAUGUGAAAGACCUAUUGAAGAAGUUUGGGAUAGAAGAUGCAAAACCAAUCAAGACCCCUAUGGCCACUAAUGGGCAUCUUGAUCUUGAUGAGGGAGGUAAACCGGUAGAUUUAAAGCUUUAUAGAUCCAUGAUUGGUAGUUUACUUUACCUUACCGCAUCUGGGCCCGACAUCAUGUUUAGUGUAUGCAUGUGUGCAAGGUUUCAAGCCGCUCCUAAAGAAUGUCAUCUGACGGCCGUGAAGCAAAUCUUGAGAUAUCUAAAGUAUUCACCGAAUAUUGGUCUUUGGUAUCCAGAGGGUGCUCAAUUUGAAUUGGUUGGUUUUUUGGAUUCCGAUUAUGCUGGUUGCAAGGUUGAUAGAAAGAGCACCUCCGGAGGUUGUCAACUUCUUGGUCGAUCUCUUGUAUCUUGGUCAUCAAAGAAACAAAACUUCGUAGCACUUUCUACCGCCGAAGCGGAAUAUAUCUCGACGGGAAGUUGUUGUGCUCAACUAUUGUGGAUGAAGCAAACUCUUCUUGAUUUCAGCUUGGAUUUCAAGGAAAUUCCACUCUUAUGUGAUAAUGAAAGUGCUGUGAAGAUUGCUAACAAUCCGGUUCAACAUUCUAGAACCAAGCACAUCGACAUUAGACAUCACUUUCUUAGAGAUCAUGUAAGCAAAGGGGAUAUCAAAAUUGAUGGAAUUAGUACAAAUGACCAAUUGGCGAAUAUCUUCACAAAGUCAUUGGAUAAACAGAGGUUUUGCAAAUUACGGAGUGAGCUUAAUGUCAUUGACUUCUCAAAUGUGGCUUAAAACCAAACACAAUUUCUUUUUAUGCAUCAUGCAAUUCUUUCUUGUCUAACUCUAUAUUUGUGUUGUUGCAUUUUUUUAUCUCAUAAAGGACAAUUUUCCGAUGAGCCACGAACCCUUGAUGUUAUCCCCAAUCUUUAUCACAAAAGAAGAUUGCAGAAAAAGGGAAGAAAAGUUUCUGUCUGAAGUGGCGGACCGUCCGCUGUCCGCGGACCAUCCAGGAUAGCGACCGCGGACCGUUCGAUAAAGGAAACUGAAACUUUUCAGCUGACAGUUCAGUUUUUCCUCAAUCGGCGGACCGUCCACGCUAUUCCCUGUGGACCAUCCGCGACGGGGACGCCACAGUGGACCCACGCCUCGCGUGCCUUAUCUGGACGGGUCUUGACCCUUUCUCCUCCAACCGGUCAAAACAUGUUGUCUUUCAUCCCCUUUCUCCUCCACUUCUAGAGGAAGAUCCUCUCCUAGGGUUAAGCUUUGAAGACUUUCCCGGACCGUCCGAAGAAGGAUUCCGAAACGUCCGUAGGAUCCUUACCAUGACUGGACGGUAUUCCUUCAAUCUCUUUUGGUUUUCUUGGUUGUUCAAUGAAGAAGAAGGACGGUUAGGGUUUCAUGUGGAUUUGUUGAUUUGUCCAUGGAUAAGGGUUUGCAUGUUGGGGAUUCAUCUCUAUCUUCUUCUGUGAACUCUCUCAAUCAUCAGUACCAUUGGAAAUCAAGAGAUUUGGGGGAAGGAUUUUCAUGUUGUUCUAGAUCUCGGGGUCAGCCCGAUGAACGGCAGACCAUCCGGCAUUACCCGGCGGACCGUCCGCGGUUCCUCGACGGCUGCCUGAGAGCCCUAGAAUCUUAGAGAUAACAGCAAGUGUCAUUCUCUUUGUAUCAUUGCAUAAACUAAUAACAAUUCUCUAUAUCAUUGAUAGUGGCCGUGUUGGCGUAUCACAAUGGCCUUGACUCAAAAGCUGAAAAAGGGAAGUUCAUUUAAGCGGCCUUGGUUUGAGGAUGAUGGGAUUCUGGAGAAGAGGAUUCUAGAGAUGAUGAUUAUGCUCCCAGUGAUGCUGAAGUGGAAUCCUCAGCGGCGUUCUCAAUGCAUGUUGAUGAAGUGAUUGAUGUGACCAUACACACAACACCCAAGCGAAAAUGGAACAUGGAGACCUACACCAGAGAGAGGAUACCUUAUCAAUUCAGUCUUCCCCGUACGACAUCCAACCUGUUCUUUCAUACAUUUAGACAGCUUAAACCUGAUUCAUGGAAGCAUGUUCACAAAUAGGAAUUUGAACGUGUCAGGAUUGCAGAAGACACUAAUGGGUAAUUGAAAGCAUCUAGGCCCAUAAUUUGAGUUUUGGUAAUAAAUGACAACCCCUUGAGGACUAAUGUUUUUCAAUGAGCAAUAUUGAGUGUAGGUUAGUCCCGUGGAUGAGUUGUGGCCAUGAUUCUUAGUAUGAUGACAUUCAAAUUUGAUUUGAUGAUGGAAGGCUCAAGGCAAAGGUAUAAAAUAGGGUUUUUCCUUUUUGCCGGUCAAACAGGCACUUAGUGGAUGAACAAUAUGACCGGUUUUAAUAGGAUAGAUGGUCGUACUAUUAAGAGGGGUCAAUUCUCCUAUUGCUUGAGGGUUCUAUAGUGCCUCUUUGCUCAAAAGAAUGCAUUGCAUAUCAAAGUUUUGAUCUAAGAUGAGCAUAUGGUUUCUUUUAUAUUGAAAAGAUCUCUUUUGAAAGAGUUUCUGUGCCAAUGGUGGACAGUCCGCAAUUCAUUUAGCGGACGGUCCGCUAAGGUCCUCCAGAAACUAUUUCUGCCAAGUGUUUGAACCGCGGACGGUCCGCAGUUCAUUUAGCGGAUAGUCCGCUAAGGGUCUCCAGAAACUAUUCCUGUCGGGUGUUUGAACUACGGAUGGUCCGCAGUUCAUUUGGCGGACGGUACACUAGACGCGGACGGUCCCGACUUGUACCGCGGAUGAUCCGCGACCCCGUAACGGUUUUUCUCUGACACGCAUUAAAUGCCAAUAGAGCCGUUGGACUUUGUACUGCGGACGGUCCGCGGUUUCCCAGUUUUGCAUGAAAUUUUACUGUAAUGGCUAGUUUUGGUGGUGGGGGUUAUAAAUACCCCCCACCGGUUGUUGGAGCUCUCUCUUGGUUCUUUGGACUACAUUUAUGAUCUUUUGAGUCUCUCUCCACCUCUCACUCACUUGCAUUGAAUUGAGAUUGCUUUCUAAUGAGUUUGAGAGGCUUCUAGUACAUUGCAUUGAUUUCUUGAGCUUUGGGGCACUAGGGAGUCUUUAAGCAAGCGUCAAUUGGCUUAUUACUCUUGGAGGUUGCCGCCUCCUAGACGGCUUGGAGCUUGUGGAGCCGUUGAGCACUUCAAGGAGAUUGUGAAGUUGCUCCGGCUAUUUUUGUGAGAGGUUUUGUGCUCACCUCAUCGGAGUGAUGAAGAGUAACUCUAGUGGAAACGAGGUUUGGAGAGGUUCUUUAAUUUAAUUCAGCUUAAACAUCAAGCGGUGUCUUGAUAGAGAAGCGAUUGAAUCAUUGAAUCCACCUCAAUGUGGAUUAGGGGUGACCGGCAAGUCAUCGACACCACGGGAAAACAUCGGUCUCUCUCUCGGUUGUCUUCUUGCUCUCUACCUUCGUAGUAGUACUUACUUCAAGUGAAUGCUUUCAUCUAUCUUGUUUUAUUACUUGUCAUCCUAGCUCAUCUUGACAUACCUAGUAGUAGAUUUACUAGUUGUUGCUUAUCUUAUGGGUUUCUAAUUAAAGUUUAUUAAGUAUUGUGUUUUAGCUUAAAACCUCCUAUUCACUCCCCCUCUAGUCGGUAUCCUAGAUCCUACAGUAAUCAGCUCUGACACAUCGGCAUUUUAGAGUGUCAAUAUCCUUUAUUUCUUAAAAUAUAUGUUUGUAUAUUUAUAUAGCUAACGAUUCAUCGUACCACAGAUUUUCAGAUGGAUGGUUUAUUCUACAGUACAUAGCAUGGUGGGAUAGUCCUCGAAACGUACAUAUCUAUACAGUGAGUAAAUAUACUUUGUUGUACAUUCCUUUGUGAUUUUACAAUAUACGAUAAAUCCCAUCACAUGAGAGCUAAACUUGAAGUAAGCACUCGUCUUACGUAUAGGAUGCUAUUACGGUGCGGUGCAACUUCUUCAUCGAUCUUUUGGUGCACGAAGCGAAUGCCUGGAGGACAAGACUACCGGGCAUUGUGAAACAUUAUCUUUAGCGCAUCACAGGCAAAGAAAUAGGAUAGAUGGGGGUGGUCUUUGGAUAACCUAUAUUCGUACUUGUUCCACAUGAUUGUUGUCCUACUGAAUCCAAUGUUGAAGGUUGUUCAAGUCGCCGUUAGAGCUUGCUAGAAGCGAAUACGAUGUAAAGGUGAUUAACUGCCAUAUAUUGUUUGGGAAUUGGUCACAUGAUUAUUCUUUUGCAAGUUGAGAUAAAGAACAUCCAAGCGUACUUUUACUUAUGUUAUUACUCAUUGCAAAGUCAUUUUUUAUUUCACAUUGGAGGCAUUUCGCAUGUAUUUAAGUUUGUAGAAGUAAAUAUUUCACAUGAUAAUGUUUGAUGCUUAUAGACGAAUUUUGUUUUGCCCUAGCAACCCACGGGCACGAUCCUAGUGUUGGAAAAAAAAAUUGGAGUGGUCAAAAAGACCGAGGGUAAGGGAACACGAAAAAGGAUAGCCUACGUCUCGGUCAUCUUCGCGCCUUGAUCGGAGACGCAACCAACUCAUGGUUGCGGUCCUAGAUCGCCCAGCGCAAGAACAAAAGGGGGAGGGGGGCUCCGGCUUGUUUCAAGGUCGACGAACUCACCAAAAAGGCUCUUGUACCCCAGCACCGCCAAACCAAUCCUUGGUGGCGUUAGAGUCAUUUGAAGGCAGUGGCGAAGGGAGGGGGGGCACGGGGGGCCUGGCACCCCCUGACCCUUUGCAGCAUCCGCCCCUACCCCUGGUGGCCUGGGCCUCUCCUGGCAGGCUAGCACCCCCUGGUGGCCUGUGUGCCUAUCGGCCUGGCACCGGUCACCCCUAGCGAGCGGCCUGCCCGGCUGGCCCAAUAAAAAAUUAGAAGCCCCUCUGAAGAGUCCUGGCCCUGGAAUAGUCUGCCCCUGGUAGCAGAUUAGCAAAUAGGCACAUCAGGUCAAAUCGUAUUCCGCCCCUGGUAGCAGUUUUUUGUUCCUAGCUCGCGCCGCCAGUCGAAUCGUAUUCCGCCACCGCCAGUCAAAAAAGCAAAUAGGCACAUCAGGUCAUCCGUCAUCAGGACAUGAGCACGGAGCACCAGAGUACGAGGAUAAGGAUGAAUGGAUGAUGCCAAUUGCCAUGAUGGAUCCAAGCCAUGCACAGCAGGCCAGCAACGUCUCAGGAUUUGUGGUUCGUUUUUCUAGACUACAGAUCUUAGGGAUUUUUUUAUGUGUUUGAUGCAUUUAUUUAUGUGUUUCAUGCCUCAUGGUGCAUGUACAGAUGAUUUUCUUUCCAAUUCAAGAAUGUCUCAAAAGCGGAUGGAUUCUUGCACAAAACAGAUGACCGGAAUUUUGUGCACAAAGCAGGCUGCUUUUUUGCAUCUGACUGAUCACUAACGUGACUCGCUGUUGUUUUCUUCGCCAGCGUUAGAUUGCUGCUGUCCCCAGGUAAUCCAUAAUCAUAAAUCAUCCAGUGAUAUUCUCUUAUCUAAUUAACAGUCAAGUCAUUAGUGAUUCUAAAUUUCCCUCUCUAAUUUAAGUACUAGUGAUAUUAUUACAGCGUACAAUCUUGCUGCUAGUCGAAGAGCUAAAUUUAAGUUGAUAGAUAUUUAAUUUUAUUUUGAUUAAGACUUGUGAAACAUGCUAUUAUUAUAUCAUUAUAUGUGACUAAAAUCAGCUCACAUGACUAUCAAUUCUACGUUGCUUUGUCCAUUGCUCCCCUUAACUCAAAUCCUGGCUCCGCCCCUGUCUGAAGGCUGCUGCCGUCUCGACCUCGUCGUUCCUGGACAAACAAAGAGGAGGCCAGAAGGAUGUCGUGUACAUCUACGGCCUGCACCGACACCGGCAACCCCUUCACCAACCUCUGCACCAACUAAGAUGGCUGGAUCGGUGUCUACUGUCGCUGCCAGUUGAUUCCUCAACCUUCUCUUAAUUGUGCUCAUGUUAUUAGGUGUUAAAGAUCCUAAGUUUAAGUAAUGUGGUUUCCUACAAAAGAUGCACAAGAAUUGUUGUGCUGAUCCUACCACUCGUUGUGCCAUGUUGCAACAGAUUUGCUUAUGUGUGGAACUCCUACCUAUCGGCAACAUUGUCUUUUUUUUGCUACACUGAUCAAUAUCCAAGCCAAUACCGAUGCAUUAAUGACGCACACAUGCAAAUCCCUUAAUUUUCCUCCCUGCGACUUAAUAUGAUCAUUGGAAUGAGAACACGACUAAGAAAUCGGCAAAAGUGAAAAAUCAUGAUACGUUAAGAAAUAGGCCUGGAGGGCUCUAUCCUUCAUGCCCCCAAUGACUAUAGCCUAAGGGAAGGGGAACUAUAGUUAUGUCAUAUGUUUUCAUUACUAUACUUGCUGCAGUUAAAGUGUACUGAAAUUUGAAAGAAGAUAGGGAUUACAGAAUUAGAUUUUUAUCAUUACUCACUGUCACACCUACAAAAAA